GUAGGUGGCAAGCGUUGUCCGGAAUUAUUGGGCGUAAAGCGCGCGCAGGCGGUCCUUUAAGUCUGAUGUGAAAGCUCACGGCUCAACCGUGGAGGGUCAUUGGAAACUGGGGGACUUGAGUACAGAAGAGGAAAGCGGAAUUCCAAGUGUAGCGGUGAAAUGCGUAGAGAUUUGGAGUAACACCAGUGGCGAAGGCGGCUUUCUGGUCUGUAACUGACGCUGAGGCGCGAAAGCGUGGGGAGCAAACAGGGAUUAGAUACCCUGGUAGUCCACGCCGUAAACGAUGAGUGCUAAGUGUUAGGGGGUUUCCGCCCCCUUAGUGCUGCAGCUAACGCAUUAAGCACUCCGCCUGGGGAUACGGCCGCAAGGCUG
rnacentral:rRNA from 1 species